rnacentral:rRNA from 1 species
ACUCAAAGGAAUUGACGGGGGCCCGCACAAGCGGAGGAACAUGUGGUUUAAUUCGAUGAUACGCGAGGAACCUUACCCGGGCUCGAACGGCUUUUGAAUGUGUGUGAAAGCAUACAGUCGCAAGACAGAAGUCGAGGUGCUGCAUGGUUGUCGUCAGCUCGUGCCGUGAGGUGUCGGCUUAAGUGCCAUAACGAGCGCAACCCUUAUUUUCAGUUACCAUCAGGUGAUGCUGGGGACUCUGGAAAGACUGCCACCGUAAGGUGUGAGGAAGGUGGGGAUGACGUCAAAUCAGCACGGCCCUUACGUCCGGGGCGACACACGUGUUACAAUGGGAGGGACAGAAGGCAGCUACCUGGCGACAGGAUGCGAAUCUAUAAACCCUCUCCCAGUUCGGAUCGGAGUCUGCAACUCGACUCCGUGAAGCUGGAUUCGCUAGUAAUCGCGCAUCAGCCAUGGCGCGGUGAAUACGUUCCCGGGCCUUGUACACACCGCCCGU